GACGGAGGAGGCAAGCGUUGUCCGGAAUGAUUGGGCGUAAAGCGUUCGCAGGUGGCUAUACAAGUCAGCUGUCAAAGACCGGGGCUUAACCCCGGAGAGGCAGUGGAAACUGUAUGGCUGGAGUGCGGAACAGGUAGAGGGAAUUCCUAGUGUAGCGGUGAAAUUCGUAGAGAUUGGGAAGAACACCGGUGGCGAAAGCGUUCUGCUGGCCUGCAACUGACGCUGAUGGACGAAAGCGUGGGGAGCGAAAGGG
rnacentral:rRNA from 1 species